rnacentral:ribozyme from 13 species
AUUUUCCUCUUUUUCUUUUUCUUUUUCUUUUUUUCUCUUUUCGUUGUCGGUGAGGGCACUGAUAAUUGUUGGGAAGAAGG